AUUUAUAUAAUAUAAACAUUAUUUUUAACUUCCAAUUAAAAAAUCUAAAAUAAACCUUAGUAUAAAUA
rnacentral:tRNA from 1 species